rnacentral:rRNA from 1 species
GGCUUCGGCCCGAGUUGUAAUCUGUAGAGGACGCUUUUGGCGCGGUGCCUUCCGAGUUCCCUGGAACGGGACGCCAUAGAGGGUGAGAGCCCCGUAAGGUCGGACACCAAGCCUCUGUAAAGCUCCUUCGACGAGUCGAGUAGCUUGGGAAUGCUGCUCUAAGCGGGAGGUAAACUUCUUCUAAAGCUAAAUACUGGCCAGAGACCGAUAGCGCACAAGUAGAGUGAUCGAAAGAUGAAAAGCACUUUGAAAAGAGGGUCAAAUAGUACGUGAAAUUGUUGAAAGGGAAGCGCUCAUGACCAGACUUGCGCCUGGCGGAUCAUCCGGCUGUCUCAGCCGGUGCACUCCGCCUGGCGCAGGCCAGCGUCGGCUGUUGCGGGGGGACAAAAGCACUGGGAACGUAGCUCUCCUCGGAGAGUGUUAUAGCCCUAUGCA